rnacentral:rRNA from 1 species
AAUAUUGGACAAUGGGGGCAACCCUGCUCCAGCCAUGCCGCGUGCGUGAAGAAGGUCUUCGUAUUGUAAAGCACUUUAAGUUGGGAGGAAGGGCUUUAGGUUAAUACCCUGAAGUGUUGACGUUACCACCAGCAUAAGCACCGGCUACUCUGUGCCCGGAGCCGCGGUAAAACAGAGGGUGCAAGGGUUAAUCGAAAUUACUGGGCGUAAAGCGCGCGUAGGUGGUUCAGUAAGAUGGGUGUGAAAUCCCCGGGCUUAACCUGGGAACUGCUUUCAUAACUGCUGAGCUAGAGUACGGUAGAGGGUAGUGGAAUUUCCUGUGUAGCGGUGAAAUGCGUAGAUAUAGGAAGGAACACCAGUGGCGAAGGCGACUACCUGGACUGAUACUGACACUGAGGUGCGAAAGCGUGGGGAGCAAACA